CAGUAGCCGCGGGAAUACAGAGGGUGCGAGCGUUAAUCGGAUUUACUGGGCGUAAAGCGUGCGUAGGCGGCUUCUUAAGUCGGAUGUGAAAUCCCUGAGCUUAACUUAGGAAUUGCAUUCGAUACUGGGAAGCUAGAGUAUGGGAGAGGAUGGUAGAAUUCCAGGUGUAGCGGUGAAAUGCGUAGAGAUCUGGAGGAAUACCGAUGGCGAAGGCAGCCAUCUGGCCUAAUACUGACGCUGAGGUACGAAAGCGUGGGGAGCAAACAGGAUUAGAUACCCGUGUAGUCCCUGUCUCUUAUAC
rnacentral:rRNA from 1 species